rfam:Mus musculus chromosome 12, GRC primary reference assembly.
UAGGGGAGACGGGGCUCAGACCCCCUCCCCGAGCCUAGGGUAACACUAACUGUGGAGGGGAC